UACGUAGGUGGCGAGCGUUGUCCGGAAUUACUGGGUGUAAAGCGCGCGUAGGCGGGAGGCCAAGUCCGCUGUGAAAUCGCCCGGCUCAACUGGGCGCGGUCGGUGGAAACUGGUCACCUGGAGGACGGUAGAGGCGAGUGGAAUUCCCGGUGUAGAGGUGAAAUUCGUAGAUAUCGGGAGGAACACCAGUGGCGAAGGCGGCGAUCUGGGAAGAUACUGACGCUGAGGUGCGAAAGCGUGGGGAGCAAACAGG
rnacentral:rRNA from 1 species